GUUCGAAGGGCCAAUGGGCUUUGUUUACUUUGUUACGCGGCUUUAGUAUAGGGACAGCGUAUUGGCUAUUGAUAUAUCAGUCAGUUGGGCUUCUAGCCAAUGAGUUUACCUUUCCAACGCUACCAGGCGUGUCCAGGUGUGAUACGUAUGAGCCGAGAUAUACAGCUGCGUCAUCACGGCAGACUACUCGCUUUGCGCAUGACAGAGCCUCCAGCGGACCAGGACGCACGCCGCACACAUUGAUCACAUUGAUUUCGCCGUUUACAAUGGCGAAAUCAACGAAGAAAACGAAAUAUUACACACAUGAAGAAGCCCUCGCUUUGAUUUUGGCUUCAUCCGAGGACAGCGAAGACAGCCAAUAUGAUUCUGAGAUAGAGGAGAUGUUCAAGCAACAAUUGGACGAAGUCUUAGAUCGGUCAAUGUCUGAGGACAGUGAUGCGGAUUGGGAGCCGCAAAGCCAGACAGGCAGACCCCCGGCCCCCACUCCUACUGAAGGCGAAAAAAACCAAAAUACUGCCGGACCUUAACAGGUUAAGGGCAGGGUAAUUA
ensembl:lncRNA